UCCGGUUUGUCACCGGCAGUCUCAUUAGAGUGCCCUUGCGUAGCAACUAAUGAUAAGGGUUGCGCUCGUUGCGGGACUUAACCCAACAUCUCACGACACGAGCUGACGACAGCCAUGCAGCACCUGUGUUACGGCUCCCUUUCGGGCACCCUCACAUCUCUAUGAGGUUCCGUACAUGUCAAGGGUAGGUAAGGUUUUUCGCGUUGCGUCGAAUUAAACCACAUGUUCCACCGCUUGUGCGGACCCCCGUCAAUUCCUUUGAGUUUUAAUCUUGCGACCGUACUUCCCAGGUGGAUCACUUAGCGCGUUAGCUUCGAUACCGAUCUUGCAGAGCAAGACCAACAUCUAGUGAUCAUCGUUUACAGCGUGGACUAC
rnacentral:misc_RNA from 1 species